AUGCUUCUCUACUUGUAUGUCUUGUCAACAACUUGUGUAGAUUCGGGUGGCUGCUAUAACAUAAAUCUUGGUGUUAUUAUUUUGCUUCAAAUUCUCGUGGCUUUUGGCGGCAGCCAACUCAUUAGUAUUAAUUUUUCUCUUUCAAAUUCCAUUUUUGUUUGUAUUCUUUCCUUGGAUGUUACUGAACAAAAAUCCUUACUGCCUAUAUUUUAUUUUUCUACACAUUGGAUUGGACACCGUAGAUUGAUAUCAUAA